CGGGACCUCACCUGGCGCCGGCGUGUGGACACACUGUCACACAGACCCUCGGGGAUGUCCAGGUGGCUGGCAUGAGCCCCAGCACCCCGCGGUGCAGGAUGGAGGCCGGGCCCAGCCCAGGAGGAGAUGGGAGCGGCUGCACCCACGGGCCGGGGGAGCCGAGCUCGGAGCUGAGAGUGGCAGUUCCAGGCUGACUUCCUCCUGCCUGAGCAGAAGGGGACCUGGGUCUGGAGCCAAGGGGUGAGCAGGUCACGGGCAGCUGGCAGUGCAUACAUGCCCCCAGGGAGCCCAGUGGGGGCACAGACACAGACACCCCAAUGAGCGGUACAGCAGCUUGGCCUUCUGCACGGCCGGCCGGUCCUUGGCGGUGGCGUUCUCCAGCACCGCUGUGGGCAGGGGAGAACGUCGGCGUGACAGGGGCCGUGCUCAGCCGGAGCUGGCCCUGCCCCUGCCGGCCUCUGUCCUCCGCCGGCCGUCUCCGUGCCCACCGGACGGAAGAGGAGGUGGCGCCCAGGGGUGCUCCGUGGCUGCCAGGCGCACCCUGCCAGGGCGAGGCCGCGGACCCCAGCCCAUGCCCCCCGGCCGCACUGCGCCACCUUUGAGGAUGACCUCCAGCUCGUCCCGGAGGAUGUCGAAGACGCUGUAGCGGGAGUUGGUCUCGGGGAUGACGUGGUGCCGCAGCCAACCGCCGCAGGCAUACUGGUAGAAGUCGUCACAGGGCUCCUGGGACGGGUCCAUGUUCUGGAGAAUUCUGGCGGCUGCUCGUCGGGGGCAGGGUGAGGAGGGAAGGGGGGUCAGAGCUGACAGUCUGUCCUCAAAUGCAGUCCUGUCCCCUGGGAACCAGCCCCUGCUGUGUGUCCUUUGGGGAGUGAAGCGCCUUCUCUGAGCCCCGGCGAGGCUGGGUGCCAGGGUAGAGCCCCCUGACCUGGAUUUGAGGUCUGGUGUCAGCCCUGAUUGGCCACGUGGCAUUGACCCCCUGUGUCUUCUCCCAGCUCCCGUUUCCUCGUCUGCACAUCUGGGGGCCCCGGCAGCCCCCCUCUGGCUGGCACGGUCCCUGAGAGCUGCCGCCCGCUCCUGGCUCAGGCCAGGGUCUUUGGGGCCGAGCUCUGCCCCUGACAGCGCCACUUCCUGGGCCGCGGGUGCGGC